ensembl:lncRNA
AUCGAAUCAGCUCAUGUCCUUAUGUUCAGGAUUCAUCAGCAAUACUGGUUCAGCGGCGGGCGGGCUGUCAGUCAUGUUGAAUUUCCUUCUCGUGGUCCCAAUCGGGCAUUAAUUUGUCAAUCUGUAUGCAGAGCUGCUCUCAUAACUUCCCCAGUGUUGUAAUUAGUGCUACCUGAAGUUGUAGGGCUUUGAUUGCCUUCAGGGAGGUGUCCUGCAAGGCUGUUUCAAAUUAACAUGAGGGCAAUGGCCCUGAUUGCUCGCAUCUGGUCAUUAAAGGAGAGGGGAUUUUUCUCCCCUCCUUGCCCUGAACCCAACAUGGGCUGAAAUCAAAAGCUGGUGCUCAAAUAAGCAAGCCUCGAGUUUUUCAAGUGCCUGAAAGAGCUGAUUGGACAGCGAGAAAAUCCAUUACUUAAGCAUAUGGAUACCAAUUACAUGUGUUUUUCUGUGAGGAUGGUGAUGUCUUUUUGCAGAAUAACUGUUGGAUCAUAUCAGGAUAUAGGCAAAGCCACAGUUGAAAGCUUCGUGGGGGAGAUUGCUGAAACAUUCAACAGCUUUUACUGUUGCAUUGGGUUCGUGAAAUGGAUUGUUUUUCAGCCGUGAGCAGGGAGGAGUUGUCUUUUGACAUUUUUCGAGAUGAUUGAGAAAAUAAAUUGCUGGAGUAGCAGAAUAGCAAAGGAUGGAGACAGAACACAAGCUCGGAAGAUGAAUAUAUUCGCUGCUUGUAUAGGAGUUUGAGAUGAUUUUUCAUCCGUGAAGUGUCUUAUAGUAGUAGCCCAGAACUCCCUUCACCAAUUUGUGUAGUUUUCAUGCUUAAAUGGAUUUAUUGUUAAUGCUGCAUGAUCUGAGAUUUUCCUUCCUCCCUCCCAUGCCCUGUUUCUGUCUUACGCUCUCAUUCUUGAUCUGUAUUCCCUUCUCUCUGUCUCUCUCGCUUUUAGAUAUGCAUUGCCGUCUCGUGACAAUGACCGGCUCUGUAUCAUUGAGAUAGCUGUUGCUAAUGGAACUGCUAAUCGGCAGCAGAAAUACAUGGAUGAGCCUGUGUCAGAGGAAGGAUGCAUUAAAUGGAUUGAAAAGUGGUGUUUGGCCCCACAUUCCUCUCUGAGCUGCACCACAACAGUGGGGAUGUCUCUAGCUUCAUCGGCUGCAUACGUGAACUGCAGUUGGGCUCCAAAGACCUGUAUGUUGUGGGGGAAGCAAUCAGAGGCCUAA